CUACGGGAGGCAGCAGUGGGGAAUAUUGCACAAUGGGCGCAAGCCUGAUGCAGCCAUGCCGCGUGUAUGAAGAAGGCCUUCGGGUUGUAAAGUACUUUCAGCGGGGAGGAAGGGAGUAAAGUUAAUACCUUUGCUCAUUGACGUUACCCGCAGAAGAAGCACCGGCUAACUCCGUGCCAGCAGCCGCGGUAAUACGGAGGGUGCAAGCGUUAAUCGGAAUUACUGGGCGUAAAGCGCACGCAGGCGGUUUGUUAAGUCAGAUGCGAAAUCCCCGGGCUCAACCGGGGAACUGCAUCUGAUACUGGCAAGCUUGAGUCUCGUAGAGGGGGGUAGAAUUCCAGGUGUAGCGGUGAAAUGCGUAGAGAUCUGGAGGAAUACCGGUGGCGAAGGCGGCCCCCUGGACGAAGACUGACGCUCAGGUGCGAAAGCGUGGGGAGCAAACAGGAUUAGAUACCCUAGUAGUC
rnacentral:rRNA from 1 species